GAGAGAGAGAGAGAGAGAGAGAGAGAGAGAGAGAGAGAGAGAGAGAGAGAGAGAGAGAGAGAGAGAGAGAGAGAGAGAGAGAGAGAGAGAGAGAGAGAUGGUGGGGGAGGAGAGAAGAGAAACAGGAGAGGGAGAGAGAUGGUGGAGAGAGGGAGAAAAGAGGAGAGAGACAGAGAUGGAGAGAGAAGAGGAGAGGAAGAAAGACGAAGAGAAACUGUCAGGCUCAGUUUCUGAUCUGUAUUUUACAUAAUCAGAAAACUCGACAUUUGAAGAGCUCGGCGUGGCUCAAAGGCCAGGCAAGGGGCCGCAGCAUCCCCAGUGGUCAAAGGGGCCGGACCCGCUGGGUUACAUGUGUGGGCAGCCUCCGAUUCCUCGGGCGCCUCUCACUUGCCUAGAUGAAACACCACCCUGGGGGCGGGGAGAUGGGGGAGGCAGGUGCCAUCAAUGUCAUCUUCCCCCUUUCCCCUACAAUGUCAGGGCUCUUCUCCCUCCCUGCCCCCCCUCUUUUUGAAGAACUGCAUUUAUGACUGAUCACUCAACACCUUGUUGGUUCUGAUUGCAGAAAACACACCUUAUAAAUAUAUGAUAACCAUCCUGUAAUAGUGUGACAAUUUACUUCACAGUGCGUUUCAGGCUGCUAAUUGAUCGUUUCAGUCCAGGGACUAUUUUGGAAUAAAUUAUGCCCAUCAAAAGGAUAUCAGUUCAUUUGGGUAGAAAGAUUUCCACGUCGCUUCUCGUUCAUCUGCAGCUGGAGAGGGGCUUUCACCCCGCGCGGGGAGGGAGAGCAGGGUGGGGGAGGGGCUCUGGCAGGGACAGGAUAGCUGUGGUCGGAAGGCGUGGGCUCGGAGCCCAGGGACUGUGGAGCCCGCAGUGGUCGGUAGAGGCCGCUCUCUUUGUACGCAUCGCGGGGAGUCGGAGCUGUCUGGCAGGGCGUCCGGCUCAGGGUGAGCAGGGGGCCUCGACUCAGUACCCGGACGGGGCCAGGCUUCGAGGCUGGAGAGAUAAGGAAAUCAAGGUCCAGAGAGUUAAAUGA
ensembl:lncRNA